UGGAUUAUAAUAAAGUUUAAAAAUAGAUUUUAUUCUAACAUAUGUAUAUUGAGAUGAAUAUUUCAAAAUAUAAUUUUAACAGUUACUCAAAAUGUAACAUCUUACAUUUCCAAUCUGGAUUACAUUCAUCUUUGAUCGUCUUUGAUUAAUAGUUAAUUCAUUGAUUAAGAUAGUUCAUGCAUUCCUAGAUGCAAUCCUUAGUUGGGUAGCUGGAAAUUCCGUAAACGGAUGAACGCAUCAAAGGCAUGAGGUAGACGACAUUACCUAUAUUUCCUCCAUGACACAGAUACAUACAAAGGAUGGGAGUUAAACGCAUGACCACAUAUAGCAGAGCAGUGCAACUGCAACGAGCAAGUGGCAACCCGCUGGUUUAAAUGAAUGGAACUUUUACGAGCGGCCAAUAUUCGAACUUAAAAAAGGGGAAUGUAAAGAAAGGUGGGAUUUGAAAAAAGGGGUACUGGGGAUAUCUUCUACGUAGUACGAGUAGAUAUAUAUAGGGUGGAACGUCUCAGUUUUUUCUAAAACGAUCAUUC